UUGAAAAAUCGUCACAGAACUAAGCUAUUUCUUCUUUAAAAUGUGCUCUUUAUAAUAAAAAAUAAUUUUUUAUUUAUAUAGGCCAAUAUAAUACUAAGUAAAUAAAUAACUAAACAUUAUAAAAUCUUUUUAAAAAUGUGCUAAUUAUGCCAAUUAUGUUUACCCGCAUGGUCCGGUCGUUAGCAAUCCUAAGCUAAUAUUAAAAUGAAUAUUUAUCGUAUAGUGAACUUUAUUUUAUUAUGGAAAAUACAUUGCAAAAUGCCGAACCAACCGAAAAGAGAGGAUCCUAUGUACAGCACUCACUAUGUUCUUAACGGCAAAUUUUAGUUAUCAAAACACGUUUGGUGGUUUCUAAAGACAGAAAUAAAUUUUCAUUAAAAUCAUUGUUGUCAAGAUGAGAAUGGUUCAAUAAUCAAUCAUCCAUCAUGAAAAAAAAAUUGAUUCGGAGUUCGAACGGUCUCCUGGAAUGAAGUAAAUUCGAAGUACGGGGCACUAAUAUACUUCAAGUGGCCACACUCCUGAAUUAGACGGAAUACCUUUUGACAAGAUCCCCGCUGUGAAUGAGACAGUUGGGAUGUUAUGAGAACAGGGCCGGAUUAACCCACUUUGGGGCCCUAGACAUUUUCUUCUUACCGGGCCCCUCUCUCUCCCACAAGAAAUAGAGCACACAAAAAAUAUAA